UUUCCUGGACUCGGCUCUCUCCCAGGCCCUCAACAUCCCCAUGGCCCCUCCUUUGCCAUCUUUCUCACCACCGUCCUGUCCUCCCCACGCUAUAGCUUUCACGGGGCUGACUCUUGCCUGGACUGUUGCAGUAGCCUCUUGCCCAUUGCCCUGCUCCCCCUCACUAGCACUGGCCCGGGCCAGGCCUGUUGUGACGCUCUCCUCUCCAGGUCUGUUACCUCCCUCCAGAACAAACCUCAGGAGGAAGUCUGAUGAUUCCUGACUUCAGAAAGAGCUGAGGCUGAGAGACUUCCAGCAAGACCUUGGAGGAGGCAGGAAAGAGAUGAGGAUUCCCCGUUAUCAUGGACCAGGGAAGAGAAGCUCAAAGAUGUUGAGCAACUUGCCGACUCAUCCAGCAAGGGGUGUCGUG